rnacentral:lncRNA from 1 species
ACCAUAAAAUUCUUGGGUGUGGAUCUCUUCCCACUACAAGAAAAAAAAAUUUUACGAUAAAUUUAUUAACAACGAAAAUAUUUUCAUCGUCAAUAAGUCUAUUUACGAUGAAAAAUUAAAUUCGUCGCUAAUAAUAAAUUAUUUAUGAUGAAAAUUAGUUUUCAUCACAAAUAGCUUCAUAUUUGCAAUAAAAAAAAAGCAUCUAAAUACCUAUUAUUUACA